rnacentral:rRNA from 1 species
AUUGAACGCUGGCGGCAGGCCUAACACAUGCAAGUCGAGCGGCAGCGGGAAAGUAGCUUGCUACUUUUGCCGGCGAGCGGCGGACGGGUGAGUAAUGCCUGGGAAAUUGCCCAGUCGAGGGGGAUAACAGUUGGAAACGACUGCUAAUACCGCAUACGCCCUACGGGGGAAAGCAGGGGACCUUCGGGCCCUGCGCGAUUGGAUAUGCCCAGGUGGGAUUAGCUAGUUGGUGAGGUAAUAGCUCACCAAGGCGACGAUCCCUAGCUGGUCUGAGAGGAUGAUCAGCCACACUGGAACUGAGACACGGUCCAGACGCCUACGGGAGGCAGCAGUGGGGAAUAUUGCACAAUGGGGGAAACCCUGAUGCAGCCAUGCCGCGUGUGUGAAGAAGGCCUUCGGGUUGUAAAGCACUUUCAGCGAGGAGGAAAGGUUGAUGCCUAAUACGUAUCAACUGUGACGUUACUCGCAGAAGAAGCACCGGCUAACUCCGUGCCAGCCGCCGCGGUAAUAC